rnacentral:miRNA from 1 species
UGGAGUGUGUCUAUGGUGUUUGA